rnacentral:lncRNA from 1 species
AUGGAUACACAGUAUAUAUAUUUAUGUGUGUUUAUUUAUUUUGUAUAUACAUACAAAAAUUGUUAUACCAUUUCCUUUCUUACUGCUCAUUGUAAGAGAAGAUCCUGUCAGGGUGUCUGCAAGGUUGAAGGGGAGGAAUUCUGCAGUGUGGCGGGGGAAAGCAGAGUCCCCAGAGAAGAGCACAUGGCCAGCUCAUCCCCAAGGCUCCUACUGGAGGUGCUGGAGCAGAGUCCAGCCACAAUCUCAUCCCAACUCCACAAGAGGUCUGCCAGCCCAGCAUCUCUCCUCCACCUGAAGCCCAACAGAGAGAAAUAGAUGGGAAGGGUGUGCAAGAUUUCUGAGGGAUACCUGAUUUCCCUGGUGUCUACUGCUGCUCCCACCUGGCUCUCUGCUAAUAUACAGCAGUUACUGUCCACACAGUACACUUUUCUAAUUUCCUAUCUGCAGUGGGGGCAGCCAUAGUAGGAGGUUCUAAUAACUGUUUUUACAAGACUUGGUUUGCACAGAGCCUUUUGAAGGUCACGCUGAUUAUUUCCUCUGUAACAAGCAAAGCACUAUGUAAUUAUUGCAAAUACCACCUGGUGAAAAAUCACUUCUAGUCAAUCACCUUGGCAUGGGGACAACUGCUGUAGCCCUUUGCUGCCACAGCAAAUCAAGCAGAAGCAAUGAUGGGUCUCACAUCUCCAAUCUGGACUCUUGUAUUCCUCCAAAUACAGUAAAUUGGUGAAAUGACUUUCCUGAGAGGCCAGUACAUGAGCACCCAGCUCAGCGGGGCAUGCAGAGCAGAUGACGCAGUGCUGAGACACAAAAUUCACCCUUGUCAAGAAUGUCAGGUAUAGAAAUGGGACCCAUCCCACCAGGCAGCCCUGGCUUAAUGGUUUAGUUGUAGAUCUCUGGUCCCAUUUAAUCAAAAUCUGUGAUGCUUACACACUGAGGUGAGUUGUUUCUCACAUACUUAAUGCUUGAAUAUGUGAUGGCACUUUUAGGAAGGAAAAUGAAGCUUAAGAGAAAGGAUGAUUCCAUGAUAUCAGCUGCAUUAACUGUGUUAAUAAACUGGAGAAACUCAGGAAAAAAUCA